GAUGAACGCUAGCGGCAGGCCUAAUACAUGCAAGUCGAGGGGCAGCAGGUUCGAGUUUACUUGAACGCUGGCGACCGGCGCACGGGUGCGUAACGCGUAUGCAACCUACCUACUACAGGGGGAUAGCCAUUGGAAACAGUGAUUAAUACCCCAUAACGCAGGGACUCCGAUUGGAGAUAUUGCUAAAGAUUUAUCGGUGGUAGAUGGGCAUGCGUAGGAUUAGCUAGUUGGUGGUGUAAUGGACCACCAAGGCGACGAUCUUUAGCGGGUCUGAGAGGAUGAUCCGCCACACUGGAACUGAGACACGGUCCAGACUCCUACGGGAGGCAGCAGUAGGGAAUAUUGGUCAAUGGGGGCAACCCUGAACCAGCCAUGCCGCGUGCAGGAAGACAGCCUUCUGGGUUGUAAACUGCUUUUAUCAGGGGGGAAUUGUCGGGAUGCGUCCCGAAGUUGACAGUACCUGAUGAAUAAGCACCGGCUAACUCCGUGCCAGCAGCCGCCGUAAAAC
rnacentral:rRNA from 1 species